CCCUGGUUGGCUCAGUUGCUAGAGCGCUCCACUGGAAAUGGAGAGGUCCCGGAUUCGAUACUUGGACCAGGCG
rnacentral:tRNA from 1 species